rnacentral:rRNA from 1 species
CCUACGGGUGGCAGCAGUGGGGAAUAUUGCGCAAUGGGCGAAAGCCUGACGCAGCGACGCCGCGUGAGGGAUGAAGGUCUUCGGAUCGUAAACCUCUGUCAGCAGGGAAGAACGGUCACUGGGCUAAUCAGCAGUGAAUUGACGGUACCUGCAAAGGAAGCACCGGCUAACUCCGUGCCAGAAGCCGCGGUAAUACGGAGGGUGCGAGCGUGAAACGGAAUUACGGGGCGGAAAGCGCUAGUAGGCGGUAUGUCAAGUCAAGGGUGAAAUCCCCGCGCUCAACUUGGGAACUGCCUUUGAAACUGGCACACUGGAGUGUGUGAGAGGCUAGUGGACUUCCAGGUGU